UGCCAAUAUACAACAGUUGUUACACCAAAACAGAAACUGUGAUAUUAUCUUUCAUCUUCACAAAUCAGUCCCACAAAUUUAACUCACCAUUACAAUUCAUACGAAAUCCAUUAACGAAAUUUGUUGCUGCAGCCAACAAAAUGAUAGUGAAGGAAUCGAAUUCGAUCACGACAGGAAUCGAUGUAAGAGAUCGAAUAGAUUUGACGGCCAUUAGUUGAUACUAGCGAUGACCAGGAACCCACCCAUUUGCAAAGCAGCCGCGAUAAGCUAGAACAAAUUUUUGGCAUGACUAUGUUGAGAUGAGUUAUUUUCAUUUGUUCUCUAAAUUAUAAAUAUUCAUGAUACAAAUAGCUGUUUGGUUGGUUAAGAUAUUUAAGGCAAGAGUUGGAGCAAUAAUAUCAAAAUUGCAUGGAUUUAUUUAAAUUUAUAAAGUGUUCUAUUUUUUUGAGUAAUUACCUAAUAUGCAGAGUACUAAGCAUG
rnacentral:lncRNA from 1 species